AGUGAACGCUGGCGGUAGGCCUAACACAUGCAAGUCGAACGGCAGCACAGUAAGAGCUUGCUCUUACGGGUGGCGAGUGGCGGACGGGUGAGGCAUACAUCGGACUCUACUUUUUCGUGGGGGCUAACGUAGGGAAACUUACGCUAAUACCGCAUACGACCUACGGGUGAAAGCAGGGGAUCUUCGGACCUUGCGCGAUUGAUUGAGCCGAUGUCGGAUUAGCUAGUUGGCGGGGUAAAGGCCCACCAAGGCGACGAUCCGUAGCUGGUCUGAGAGGAUGAGCAGCCACACGGGAUCUGAGACACGGUCCAGACUCCCACGGGAGGCAGGAGGGGGGAAUAUUGGACAAUGGGCGCAAGCCUGAGCCAGCCAUACCGCGUGGGUGAAGAAGGCCUGCGGGUUGUAGAGCCCUUUUGUUGGGAGAGAAAAGCAGCAGGGUAAUACCCCGCUGAUUUGCGGGUACGGAAAGAAUAAGCACCGGUUAACUUCGU
rnacentral:rRNA from 1 species